GUUGGCCUCGGAUCAGGUGGGGAUACCCGCUGAACUUAAGCAUAUCAAUAAGCGGAGGAAAAGAAACCAACAGGGAUUGCCUCAGUAACGGCGAGUGAAGCGGCAACAGCUCAAAUUUGAAAUCUGGCGCAAGCCCGAGUUGUAAUUUGCAGAGGAUGUUUCGGGUGAAGCCACGGUCCAAGUCCCUUGGAACAGGACGUCAUAGAGGGUGAGAACCCCGUACCUGGCCGUCGGUGCCCCCCGCUGUGAAACUCCUUCGACGAGUCGAGUUGUUUGGGAAUGCAGCUCUAAAUUGGUGGUAAAUUCCAUCUAAAGCUAAAUACCGGCCAGAGACCGAUAGCGCACAAGUAGAGUGAUCGAAAGAUGAAAAGCACUUUGAAAAGAGAGUUAAAAAGUACGUGAAAUUGUUGAAAGGGAAGCGCUUGCGGCCAGACUUGCCCGCGGUUGCUCAGCCCGCCUUUUGGCGGGUGCACUCUUCCGCGGUCAGGCCAGCAUCGGUUUGGGCGGUCGGAUAAAGGCGUCGGGAACGUGGCCUCCCCUCGGGGAGGUGUUAUAGCCCGGCGCGCAAUGCGACCAGCCCGGACCGAGGUUCGCGCUUUGCUAGGAUGCUGGCGUAAUGGCCGUAAGCGGCCCGUCUUGAAACACGGACCAAGGAGUCUAACAUCUAUGCGAGUGUUUGGGUGUCAAACCCGUGCGCGUAAUGAAAGUGAACGGAGGUGGGAACCGCAAGGUGCACCAUCGACCGAUCCUGAUGUCUUCGGAAGGAUUUGAGUAAGAGCAUAGCUGUUGGGACCCGAAAGAUGGUGAACUAUGCGUGAAUAGGGUGAAGCCAGAGGAAACUCUGGUGGAGGCUCGCAGCGGUUCUGACGUGCAAAUCGAUCGUCAAAUUUGCGUAUAGGGGCGAAAGACUAAUCGAACCAUUUAGUAGCUGGUUCCUGCCG
rnacentral:rRNA from 1 species